GUUGGUCCGAGUGUUGUGGGUUAUUGUUAAGUUGAUUUAACAUUGUCUCCCCCCACAACCGCGCUUGACUAGCUUGCUGUUUUUGGGUUAUCAGAACUUAUUAACAUUAGUGUCACUAAAGUUGGUAUACAACCCCCCACUGCUAAAUUUGACUGGCUUUUUACCAUUUGAUUUUGUAUUUCAAUCAAACAAGCUAACUUUACAAAAUAUUCAUGUUGGGGGGAAAGCAUUCUUACAUAAAUGUCC
rnacentral:lncRNA from 1 species